rnacentral:rRNA from 1 species
UGCAAGUCGAACGCGAACUUGGAGCAGGGAAUGAGUAGAGUGGCAAAUUCGUGAGUAAAGGAAAAGUGACCUGCCUUCGAGUGGGGGAUAACGUUCCGAAAGGGAUUUCAAUACCGCAUGACAUCAUGCCUUUGAAGAGGUGGAGAUCAAAGCUGGGGAUCGCAAGACCUAGCACUCGAUGAGGGGCUCGCGGGCUAUCAGCUUGUUGGUGGGGUAACGGCUCACCAAGGCGACGACGGCUAGCUGGUCUGAGAGGACGACCAGCCACACUGGGACUGAGACACGGCCCAGACUCCUACGGGAGGCAGCAGUGGG